AGUUGACUGAAUGUCCCAGUGCUGGCUCCGCCACUGUGUUCAUGCCAAGGUCACACCUCCCACAGGCUGCUUCCUGCCAAUGACUAAGCAUGACGAGGGUAUAAGCCCAGGCUCAUUUCUCUGGGGCACGGAACUGCUCUCAUAGGCAAUUUGGUCUCUGUCCAAACACUGGAUCUUAGAAAUGUACUUCAGUUUCAGACUCUUUCUUCCUGGUCUCCUUCCUUCCUCCUCUCCUUUCACAGGUGUGAGACCCACAUCAGGGUCUAAAGUCUCUCCCUGCCUCCCCCUACUUCCUCCCUCUUUCUCUUCACAGGUGUUUCCUCCAAUGACCCUCUCGGGCAUCUAACCCUGUCUUAGUGUGUACUUCUCAGAGGACCCAAACUUCUACACUAGUCCAUUCAGAGCUCCCGGUGGUCAAGUAAGAAAUGUUUUUAAAUAUAUCCUUUUGCAUUUGGUUGGAUUUAUGUGGAGAGUUGGAAAGAACUGGUCAUAGAAGAACAAUCGUCCUCAUGCUCCUGGACCCAAGAGAGUUCCAGCAUCUUAAAGAACUCUCCUCUGAGACCAUAGAAACAACAUAUUUUAAAAACAUUUACCAUAAAAGUAAGGUUCUUCUUAGGAGACAAGCGAAGUUCCGGUCUUCCAAAUGCUGAUUUUUCUCAUUGCAGACUAGCUUCGUGUACGUGGAGAAGGUGCACCAUUACCAGGAAACAAAGAGUCAGAGAGAAAAUAUAUGGGACAGAUGUCCAGCAGACAUUCGGCUAGACACAAGCGUGUAUUAGGGUGGAGUGUGGAAGAUGGCAGUAUCAGAAUUGGCUCCACUAGCUGAUGUUGAGAAAUACCCAAAGCGAACAUGAAGGCAUUGGCUCAAAUCUCUCCGUGCGCUCUGUAAGGGGGCAACCCCUUCCUGGCCUUAACACACACCCCACCUUCUGCAUGUUCCAUUUGGGUGACUUCUGUUCCCUUCAAGGCAUAUUGAGAUGGGCAUUUUCAUAUUCUGCUGAUAGCAGAGGUGUGGGGGUAGGGGUGUGUUGACAAGAUCACAACUCCCAGGGUGUUUCUUUCCAGACCUCACUUGGCCUUUAUGCCACAGGAAUAAAGUUGAUCCCAAAGCAACUC